GACGAACGCUGGCGGCGUGCUUAACACAUGCAAGUCGAACGGAAAGGCCCCUUUGGGGGUCCUCGAGUGGCGAACGGGUGAGUAACACGUGAGUAACCUGCCCUUGACUUCGGGAUAACUUCAGGAAACUGGGGCUAAUACCGGAUAGGAAUCCUUGCUGCAUGGUGGGGGUUGGAAAGCUUCGGCGGUUUUGGAUGGACUCGCGGCUUAUCAGCUUGUUGGUGGGGUAGUGGCUUACCAAGGCUUUGACGGGUAGCCGGCCUGAGAGGGCGACCGGCCACAUUGGGACUGAGAUUCGGCCCAGACUCCUACGGGAGGCAGCAGUGGGGAAUAUUGCACAAUGGGCGGAAGCCUGAUGCAGCAACGCCGCGUGCGGGAGGACGGCCUUCGGGUUGUGAACCGCUUUCAGCAGGGGCGAAGCUUGUGGUGACGGUACCUGCAGAAGAAGCACCGGCUAACUACGUG
rnacentral:rRNA from 1 species